rnacentral:lncRNA from 1 species
AUGCCCACACCCCUGACGGCCCCCAUCACAUGGCACAGCCUGGAGCCCAGCCUCCCCAGCAAGGGCGGGCUGCGGGAAGCAAGGAGACAGGAUAGGGGUUAUAGGCCUUUGGAGGGGAGUCCUCUUUGUAAACCAAAAGUUGUUGGUGUGUUUUUCACAUGGAGGCCACUCUCUUACUGUGCCGGGUGCUGCUCAUUGGUCCCCGAUUCUCCACCAGACAUUCUGAGUGGCCAGUACUUGGCAGGUGCAGGAGCAACAGAUGUCAUGUGUCUGCACCCAGGAGCUGCCAGACAAGGAAGCAGACAAUUCUUUUUUUCUUUCUUGAAGCCGUGCCCUGUACACAAAUGUACCACAGUGAUUGUCCCCUACUGUGAGUGCGAGGAAGACAGUAUAAGACGGAUGGAGGGAAAACUGAACACCUUGUGCGCCUUGGUUCAGCGCUGCAGCCAGAUGCCACUGAUGUGGUAUCAGCCCAGGGACAUGAUUCCUUUCCAUCUAGACUUUGAAGACCCAGUCAAGUUUUCCUUUGACACUAAUGUUUGUGAGGACUAUCAACAAUCAAGGCUCCAUUGUGAAAAUGUCAGAACACAUUGUGAAAAUGUCAGCAUGAGGCUGAAGCAUCAACCUGGACCACAGAGUUGA